rnacentral:rRNA from 1 species
GAUGAACGCUGGCGGCGUGCCUAAUACAUGCAAGUCGAGCGAACGGACGCGAAGCUUGCUUCUCUCAUGUUAGCGGCGGACGGGUGAGUAACACGUGUAUAACCUACCUAUAUGACUGGGAUAACUUCGGGAAACCGGAGCUAAUCCCGUAUAAUAUUUUGAACCGCAUUGUUCAAAAGUGAAAUACGGUCUUUCUGUCACUUAUAGAUGGAUCCGCGCUUCAUUAGCUAGUUGGUAAGGUAACGGCUUACCAAGGCAAGGAUGCCUAACCGACCUGAUAGGGUGAUAGCCCACACGGGAACUGAGCCAGGGACAAGAGUCCUACGGGAGGCCGCAGUAGGGAAUCUUCGGCAACGGGCGGAAGCCUGACGGAGCAACGCCGAGUGAGUGAUGAAGGUCUUCGGAUCGUAAAACUGUGUUAUUAGGGAAGAACAUAUGUGUAAGUAAAUGAGGACAUCUUGACGGUAACUAAUCAGAAAGCAACGGCUAACUACGUG